CACUCUUCAACUGUUGAAGUUUCGACGUCAUUUGCAAUCGUCUCAGAUAAUUUCAAUUUUAAUAUUUGCAGUAAUAGCAAUGUAAAAGAUAAUGGUAAUAUUUGAUGUUGCACAUGUGAAAAGUGUUGUCACGUUCACAGCUUUAAUUUUGCAUUCACAGGUAGUAGUAAUAUAAAAGCACUCUACUCAUUUAUGUUAUUAAUGUGGUAAGAAAUAAUAUUAAUAAUUAUAAUUGCCCGAAAUUGACCCGCGAUUUAUUGUAUAAUAUAAUGCCCUGGUUGCGCUUGAAAUAUUCGAUUUUGUGCUGAAUGUUGAACAAGUCGGAAACGGGAAGCUCGAUGCGUCAGUAGUGGAUAUCCGUUGACAUCACCUAAGGGGUACCAAUUUGACCCAAAAGAAGCAACUUUAACACCCAGCAGACGCGAAAACACAGAUUUAAUUUGAUAUUCACAGUUAGCAGCCAUAUUGUUGCGAGAAGAUUGGCGGACAUAACUAACUUCACUAAUUUGAUAAGUGCUCGACAGCGAUGGGCAAGAAGUGGUUGAAUAAGAU